AUUGAACGCUGGCGGCAUGCUUUACACAUGCAAGUCGAACGAGUGGCGCACGGGUGAGUAAUACAUCGGAACGUGUCCUAUCGUGGGGGAUAACUGAUCGAAAGAUCAGCUAAUACCGCAUACGAUUGGAUCGGCCGAUGCCCGAUUAGCUAGAUGGUGAGGUAAAGGAUAACCAAGGCGACAAUCGGUAGCUGGUCUGAGAGGACGACCAGCCACACUGGGACUGAGACACGGCCCAGACUCCUACGUGAGGCCGCAGUGGGGAAGUGGGGACAAUGGGGGCAACCCUGAUCGCGCCAUGCCGCGUGCAGGAUGAAGGGCUUCGUAUUUUAACCUGCUUUUGUCAGGGAAGCGGUCCCUGAAUAAUAAGCACCGGCGAACUUCGUGCCAGCAGCCGCGGUAAUAC
rnacentral:rRNA from 1 species